CCUCUGUUCCUGAUGUACUUGGUGGAUGUGUGUGGCGAGGUCAGCGAUGGUGGGCAUUGAUGAGCUGAGGGGAAUUUCCAGGGCUAUGACAAUCGAUUGAAAAAAGGACGUGACCUUUGAGAACACGUAAAGCCCUAAGACACUGGCAGGAUUAUACAACAAUAUUAAGCAAUGAUGCCAAAAGAUUCCUCUGUGAGAUAGGAGUACAACAAAGAGCUUUAGGAGAUAUUUGUACUGCAUGAACCAGGAUAACUGCUCUAAAGAGAAAUCACCACCUUUAAAUCAAACAAUGAAAUCAGUUAAGAUGGACUGAGGAAGAACACUCUGUACCUGAACUGAAGACAAAAUGGUAGCUGCUGGAAGCAGAAGGCUGACUUCUGGAAAUUUAAAUAUGCAAUAGCUAGAAAAGAAAACUGUAUCAACUCAAACAGCACACUGUACUUCUACUGGUAAAAACAUCUACAGGCAAAACCAAAGUGCUGUGAAGUAUUUGGCACAACUCUUGCACCUAAUGGGAACAGGAAGGAGGAGAAAAGCUUGUUUUAUGUGUUCUCAGAAGAACUAUAGUAAUUGUCUGAAUUUUUACUAACAGACACACAGAAGCCUAUGACGGACCUCAGGCUCAAUUAAUCUUGCUGGCAGCUUAAGCUGGCAUAUGUCCAGAAAGAACCAAUCUAUCCUUACCUCCUACACAGUCCA